rnacentral:rRNA from 1 species
GGUCGGGGUGUUUAUUGGGCCUAAAGCGGCCGUAGCCGGCCCGGUAAGUCCUCCCUGAAAGCCCCAGGCUCAACCUGGGGAGCGGGAGGAUACUGCCGGGCUAGAGGGCGGGAGAGGCCGAGGGUACUCCCGGGGUAGGGGCGAAAUCCUGUAAUCCCGGGAGGACCACCAGUGGCGAAGGCGCUCGGCUGGAACGCGCCUGACGGUGAGGGCCGAAAGCCGGGGGAGCGAACCGGAUUAGAUACCCGGGUAGUCCCGGCUGUAAACGAUGCGGGCUAGGUGUUAGGCGGGCGGGAGAGCCCGCCUAGUACCGCAGGGAAGCCGUUAAGCCCGCCGCCUGGGGAGUACGGCCGCAAGGCUGAAACUUAAAGGAAUUGGCGGGGGAGCACACAAGGGGUGGAGCCUGCGGCUUAAUUGGAGUCAACGCCGGA